ACUAGGAGCUAGAUAAGUCUUACGGGUCUCAAACGAAAUUUGAGAGAAAAUGACUCACAAAUUCGGUAGCAAUUCAUUAACAAUAUGCCAAAAGUUCCUUUUACAAUGAAAAUGAACAACUAUUUAUAGUGUUCAACUAGGUAGCCGAAUGGUCACCUUCAUGGCUAAGUAAAUUGAACUAGAAUGAGCUGGAAAAUUCCAGAAUUAAACAUUGAAUUGCUGUAGCUAAAUUUAGCUGAUUGAAGUCCAAUAGGUAGCUUCUAGAAUAAGCAAAUGAACUUGGAGAGUUUGGAAAGGUGCAUGGCAGCAGCUAGGUUCAGCCAACGAGCUUAAUGAGCUCAUUA
rnacentral:lncRNA from 1 species